rnacentral:tRNA from 1 species
UCCCUGGUGGCUCAGAUGGUAAAAGCAUCUGCCUGCAAUGUAGGAGACCCAGGUUCGAUUCCUGGGUUGGGAA